CUCUAUAAUUGCCAGCUUGCCACUGCAACUUGGAUUCUCUUUUCCUUCUUCUUGUUCUUCAAGUGGCGACUUCAUUUUCUCUUUCGUUUCGCUUGAAACCGUAACCAACCACCUCAAUUCAGUUACGUAACUACUUUGUUUCCGUUAUGGCCGGUAUAACAGCUUCUAACGGCAAGCGCUCUCACUCUCACUCCGACUACGAAACCAACAACACCACCAGCAACAGCUACGGCGGAAACAAGCGCCGGAACCCUAGCGCCGCCGAGGACAGGGAUCAGCUACCUUCCGACGACACUGGCACUGUAUACCGCUACCUCUGCCCCGUUCGUAAGAUCGGCAGCGUCAUCGGCCGCGGCGGCGACAUCGUGAAGCAACUCAGGGCUGAAACGAAGGCGAAGAUUCGGAUCGGUGAGACCGUUCCGGGAUGCGAGGAGCGAGUGGUUAUGAUAUACAGUGUUUCAGAUGAGACGAAUGAGUUCGAGGAUAGCGGCGAUUUUGUGUCGCCGGCGCAGGAUGCGCUGUUUAGGGUUCACCAAAGAGUGCUCGCUGAAGACUUGCGCGGCGGCGGUGGCGAUGACGAAGAUGAUUAUUGCGGUGAUGAGGAUGAUAAAGAGAAGCACGUGACUGCUAGGCUCUUGGUGCCGUCGGAUCAGAUCGGUUGCGUCAUCGGAAAAGGGGGCCAGAUUGUUCAAAGCAUCAGGAGUGAGACCGGUGCGCAGAUUCGGAUCCUUAAGGACGAGCGGUUGCCUGGUUGCGCCUUGAGCAACGAUGAACUUGUGCAGAUAUCUGGAGAUGCUGUGGUGGUGAAGAAAGCUCUGUAUAAAGUUGCAUCCCAACUUCAUGAUAACCCGUCACGGUCUCAGCAUCUGCUUACUUCUGCUGCUCCUGGUGCUUAUGCAAAUAGUGCUUCACUCAUGGGUCCAACGGCAGGGAUUGUGGGAGUAGGUCCUCUUGUGGGUGCUUAUGGUGGAUAUAAGAGUGAUGCUGGAGACUGGUCACGGUCCAUGUAUUCAGCUCCAAGGGAUGAAGCUUCUUCAAAAGAAUUCUCAAUACGAUUUGUUUGUCCAACUGCUAACAUUGGAGGGGUGAUAGGAAAAGGUGGUGCUAUAAUAAAUCAAAUUAGGCAGGAGUCUGGGGCAACAAUCAAAGUUGAUAGUUCAGCAACUGAAGGAGAUGAAUGCUUAAUAACCAUUUCAACAAAAGAGUACUUUGAAGAUUCAUUCUCUCCAACAAUAGAUGCAGCUGUGCGUUUACAACCACGGUUCAGUGAGAAAGUUGAAAGAGAUUCAGGGGUGAUCUCUUUCACUACACGAUUUCUGGUGUCAGCUUCAAGGAUUGGUUGCCUUAUUGGUAAAGGUGGAUCAAUAAUAGCUGAAAUGAGGAGAUUUACAAAAGCUAACAUUCGCAUACUAUCAAAAGAAAAUCUUCCUAGAAUUGCAUCUAAAGAUGAUGAAAUGGUGAUGAUUUCUGGGGACCUUGAUAUUGCCAAGGAUGCUCUUAUACAUGUUCUUACACGGUUGAAAGCAAACCUUUUUGAUAAGGAGCGUGCUGUGCCUGCAUUCCCUCCAGCACUUACAUAUCUCCCUGUUUCAGCUGAUGCACCAGAUGGUUCUAGCUAUGACAGUAGAGAUGGUAAACCACACGGACGUGUCCAUUCAUUUUCAAGUGGGUAUGGAGGUGUAAGCGAUUUGCCUUCUGGGGACGCUUAUGGAAGCUAUGGAGGUUCACAGCGUGGUAACAGCAGUGCUUAUGGAGCAUAUGGAAAUUAUUCUUUGGGACGGAGUAGUGCAUCUGGGUUGUCUAAUCAGGGCAGUGCUUCUCGGAGGAGAAACCAUGGUUACUAAAAUUUGUCAGUCGAUGCAGGUGUUAAUCGAGUCAAAAACAAGUGAGGUUGCGCCGCAUCACUUGACUGAAAAUUCAUUUAGUUUUGAGUAUUUCGGAUGUGGUGAGUUGAAGGUACGGAAGGUGUUUCACAUACGCAGUGACUGUACUAAUGAAGCUCAAGAGACAUAAUAUACAUUUACUUUGACCAACUAAGGCAAUACAAUUUGCAGGGCGUAGCUUGCAUGGAUUUAGUGACACGGAGAAAUGGCCUAUGUUGCUUUUUUGUUCUGAUUUGUCAAAAUGGUGCUUGGUUGGUCUAUUUUUAAACUCUGCAUCUGGAGCAUCAUAUUCUUUUGGUUGAGCUUAUUUAGAAUUCAGCUGCAUUUUAGAGCUUAUUACACUAGGUUUCUUUUUAUUUUAGAAUUUCAUCCUGAAUGAGAGAGGUCAUUGGACACCCGCACAGGUUUAGUAUGCAAGCGUUGGCCAUUUUAGCUUGCAAGGUUGCAUGGUGUAACUCAGUUGCAGCAGCAAAUGCAAUGCACAGUUCUAAAAUGAAUUUUUUUAAAAUUUAAUGCAAAUACAAUGGGGAACUUGUGUGGUAACCGUUGAAAUAUUUUAUGCUUUUUCCUCGUCUUACGCAAUAAAGCAUGGAUCAUUGUGCUACUUGUACACAGCAAAUAUAUAGGACUUUAGCAAGAAAUUUGUGGAGAGUUCAUUCGAUCAGGGGAAUCAUUGUUGCGCAAUUUAACCAAAGCAUGUUAUAAAUAAAUAUGUAAUGCGUUGAACCUU